GACGAACGCUGGCGGCGUGCCUAACACAUGCAAGUCGAGCGGGAACCUCAGGAGGGGUAACCCUUCCGAGGGGAGAGCGGCGAACGGGUGAGUAACACGUGGGCAACCUGCCCCGGACACCGGGAUAACCCAGGGAAACCUGAGCUAAUACCGGAUACUCCGGCGCGAUCGCAUGGUCGCGCCGGGAAAGCUCCGACGGUCCGGGAUGGGCCCGCGGCCUAUCAGCUUGUUGGUGGGGUAACGGCCCACCUAGGCGACGACGGGUAGCUGGUCUGAGAGGACGGCCAGCCACACUGGGACUGAGACACGGCCCAGACUCCUACGGGAGGCAGCAGUGGGGGAUCUUGCGCUAAUGCGCGAAAGCGUGACGCAGCGACGCCGCGUGGGGGAUGAAGGCCUUCGGGUUGUAAACCCCUUUCGGCAGGGACGAAGGGAAACUGACGGUACCUGCAGAAGAAGUCCCGGCUGACUGCGUGC
rnacentral:rRNA from 1 species